rnacentral:lncRNA from 1 species
ACGUAGCAAGGCGAAAGAAAUGUUCUUGGUUGCGAAAAAAGGAUGCUGUGUGACAUCGAAGCCGCUGGUAUUUCUCUGCUUCUGGACCCGAUUCCUUAGUGUGGUACUUUCGUGGACCCGCUGAGGCGGGGGCUGCUGGACGCCCAGCUCCACCAACGGAAAGGCUAUGAGCCCGAUAGCCCGUAAAAGUGCGGCAUCACGAGCAACCAAAAAAAAAACUACGUAAAACAGAGAAGCAUUCAACUUUCUUUCAGUAUAAAGGCUGUAGGGGGGAAGGCUGACCACAGGCUGCCGUAUGUUGACUCCCCAUGUACAAUGUACUUGCUCCCGUCCUCGGCGACAGUCUUUCGAAACAGAACUUUGCUGAUCCAUGUCCUAUUGCUUUAUUUCCAGUUUGGCUUGCCGCAGAUUCGACUGUCUUUUCCGUCUCGAGCCUUGCUCGCUGUCGAGCUCACUGGAGCGGUCGAGAACAGAUAGGGCACUACUGGAGCCUACCCGUUGGAGCGUAGCGUUGGGUGCUCUUGCGUCUACUCGCGCUGAUGCACUCAGAGGGCGCACAGGCAAAACGGAGAUGCGUGGUCAUCGAGCAAAGAGCCGUCGGAAAGGCUUCCGUACAUUUGCGGGGCUGCUUUCUCCAAGCCUUGAGGCACAAAGGUGCCUUGUGAUGCUCCCGCGGCAAGUCAGGUCACCAAGCCCGAGAAAAAGAGCGGCGCUUGAGUUCCCUUUGUGUUUGGAAGGGUCGCGCAUGCGUCUUAGAUAUCUCCCCAUGGACUUGCAACGAGAAAGAACCUCUCGAGGGACGACAAUCUUGCUACCCUCUUUUUACUCCCAGGUAAGUCUAUGGCUACACGUGCCAACAAAAACGUCGCCGGCUGCAGCACAUUUUUCUCUGCUUUUUCGGACUGGCCACUUUUGUACCACCGCGUAAAGAACACCAUUCUCUCCGGUACUCGCGCUUAUCCAGGGCCCGUGAAAGCAUCCCGCAGUCAGUAAUCUCUGACCGCUUCUGAGGAUUGGGCAGGCCGCUCUCCCUGGAGAGUCGCGCCUUCGCGCGUCCUCUGACUGGUCGUGUGCCAUGUACACAUUUGUUCGAGAAAACACGAGACAAGAAAGUGUUGAGGGAGCAAAUGGUUCCGCUUCUAAUAAGCUUCUAAAACUCUUUCUGCCUCACGUCGUGAGGCGCUCCCGUACCUGCUUACGGUUUGCACACCUGGCACGAAGCGACAAUGGAUAUAGGCAAGACACGUCUUUCUUCUAUCGCAGGCCCACACCAGUCCCCCCGCAAAAACGCUUCCGGCAGGUGACCUCUUGCUGCAAAGAACAAGCAACCCAACACAACGAACCCUGAAGAUCGGCAGCGGACACGAGGAAAACUGAAGCGCUGGUAGCACCGGUGUCUGUACACAAUUUUUCUUAGCCGCAACGCAUUUCCGCCCUGUUCUGGAAGGGACAAUCGAUAUCGAUAUUUCCGUGAAUCCGAAGUAAUAGUUGCAAGAGCCUGUAAACUGCACCCUAAGUCGUGUUGAGCUUUCCACAGCUUUUCAGGCUUUUCCUUUUGGAAACCAGCGCACAAACAGGUCG